CAACCUACCAAUAAAAAAGUGAAAUUCAAAAAAUGUUUGACCUCCAAGUUCAUUCUAGUUUCUUAAAGGGGUUGAAUAGGUUGAAGCUUUCUAUCUGAAAUUUAUGAUUUUCUAACCUUAACUUUUUGAACUUCCUGUUGGUAAGGUAUAUGAGCACAGCCAGGCAUGACAUCUAAGAAUGGUUUUGACUUUUGAAUAAACAAGUUUGUUUGAUUUGAAGGUGAAAAUGAGUCUGACAAGUGCUGCUGUUUUAAACCACCUUUUAGUUUGGCUGCACAAUUUGUG
rnacentral:misc_RNA from 1 species